rnacentral:misc_RNA from 1 species
GAUGAAGAACGUAGCAAAAUGCGAUACUUGGUGUGAAUUGCAGAAUCCCGUGAACCAUCGAGUUUUUGAACGCAAGUUGCGCCCGAAGCCUUUUGGCCGAGGGCACGUCUGCCUGGGCGUCACGCAUCGCGUCGCCCCCCACAACUCUCCGUAAAGGGAACUUGUGUUUUGGGGGCGGAUAUUGGUCUCCCGUGCUCAUGGCGUGGUUGGCCGAAAUAGGAGUCCCUCCGGUGGACGCACGAACUAGUGGUGGUCGUAAAAACCCUCGUCUUUUGUUUCGUGCCGUUAGUCGCGAGGGAAACUCUUUAAAAACCCAAAUGUGUCGUCUCUUGACGGCGCUUCGACCGCGACCCCAGGUCAGGCGGGACUACCCGCUGAGUUUAAGCAUAUCAAUGAGCGGAGGA